rnacentral:rRNA from 1 species
CAACGCCUGCCCAGUGAAUAAUUCAACGGCCGCGGUACCCUAACCGUGCAAAGGUAGCGUAAUCACUUGUCUAUUAAUUGUAGACCCGUAUGAAAGGCACAAUGAGGGUCUAACUGUCUCUUUUAGUAGAUCAAUUAAACUGAUCCCCUAGUCCAAAAGCUAGGAUACCAACAUAAGACCAGAAGACCCUGUGAAGCUUUAACUAACCUAUUAGACCCUAUAAUAGCUCCUUUCGGUUGGGGCGACCUUGGAAAAUAAAAGAACUUCCAAACAGACAACACUUAAUUGUCUCACCCAGGCCAACAAGCCUACAACGACCCAGCACAGCUGACAAUUGAACCAAGUUACUCCAGGGAUAACAGCGCUAUCUUCUUCAAGAGCCCAUAUCAAAAA